UGAAACGUCAUGAAUCUGUCAAAUCAAACUGACACAGCAUAUCUAUUGUUUAUUUAUGUUUACGUUAUGCUGUGCAGUGACGAAGAAAUAAUUCAAAGUAAAAAGUGGCACUUUUCCUGUGAAUAAAUCGGUGAAUGAAAUGAUUCACUGUGGGUUGUUGGACUAUGCGACCGGAAUCUUUUCGUGAAAGAUUGGUCCAUAGUCAACCCAUAACGGUCCCGGGACACCGUGACAGUCAUCUUGACUCUGCAAGAUGAAAUCAGAUUUGGCCCAUUAUCCAAGUUGGGCGAUCCCCUUCCAACAACUCCAUAGGUGGAGAAAGAUGAGGGCAAUUUCAUUCACCCCUCGCCUCCUUCUCCAAUCCUACCAGUGUUGGUAUGGAUCCCCGUAAUAAAUCAGGUGUUCAUCCUUUCGGCGGUGAUUGCACCAAGUGACUGGGGGCAAAAAGUAAUCCCACACAGCACCGGAACUGGGCAAUCUGCCAUAGGUAAGAGUGGAAAUUGAAAUAAAUGAGAAAUAAAAUUGUUUAAUUCUUA